GACGAACGCUGGCGGCGUGCUUAACACAUGCAAGUCGAACGGAAAGGCCCUGCUUGCAGGGUGCUCGAGUGGCGAACGGGUGAGUAACACGUGGGUGAUCUGCCCCUUACUUUGGGAUAAGCCUGGGAAACUGGGUCUAAUACUGGCUAGGACCAUGCUGUAGGCGGAGUGGUGGAAAGAUUAGUUUCGGUAAGGGAUGAGCUCGCGGCCUAUCAGCUCGUCGGUGGGGUAAUGGUCUACUAAGGCGUCGGCGGGUAGCCGGCCUGAAGGGGUGUGCGGCACCAUUGAGACUGCGAUGGGAGGCAGACGCCGGCGAGAGGCAGCAGUGGGGAAAAUUGCACAAGAGGCGCGAGCCGUAUGCGGCGACGGCGCGUGGGGCGUGACGGCCUUCGGGUUGUAAACUCCUUUUAGCCAUGACAAAGCGCUUGUGGUGACGGUAGUGGUAGAAGAAGCACCGGCUAACUACGUG
rnacentral:rRNA from 1 species